AAUUCUCAACCCUUCUAGCUUUUCGAAGUUCGUCGGGCUUGGAUCUUGGAAGCUGCUGGUUUUCACGAAUCAGCUCUUCUCAAAUGUAUUAGCAGCCCUUUGCUUGCUCGUCUUUGAUAUGAUAAUUAUCUAUAUCACUGACAGAUAGCUUCCCUUGUGGGAGAGGUUUUGCUUCUAAUCGUCUUCUGAAGACAAUUCUGACAA
rnacentral:misc_RNA from 1 species